UGUUAUCUUUAUGGCCAUUUUAUGUCAGUUUACAUUUUUUCAGUUCAUUUACUGAUUUUUUUGUUAAGCCUGCAUUAGACAGCUAUGAGAAAAAUCCAUUGUACAUGUUUUUCCCCCAGUUAGUCUUCACCUAUCCCUGAUGUGGGUAAGUUUUAGUUAUUGUGUAGGCCAUCCAGUGUUUUACAAAAGGAGAGUAUCAAUUUUUUUUUGACCCGAAAAAUAAUGGAGAAAUAUAUGGUAAUUCAUAGCAAAAAUAUUAAAUGUAUAUUUAGGGAACUGCAAUUGAUUGCCAAAGAACAAAGAUAAUUGUUAUUAAUAGUCUGGUUUAACAAAUUUGACUUUCCCCAAAUUUUUGUGUUAGAACACUUACAAUACAGACCCUGGCUCAAACUAGAAUCAGUUUGGUUGUAUGGCUUACCUAACUUAUAGUGUACAUUACAUGUAUCAUUCUUGUUUUUUAUUCAUUUGCUUGUAACUGUAGGAAUGUAUUCUGUAGAAUGCCAGCAUUGCUGAUUAUAAAUAGCACUGUUGAAAAUAAAAUAUUAUUAAAAAAAAAAAAAGAAUAUUACUGUUUAUAAGAAUUGAUUCUUUAAUAAAAUGUUUAUUUAUA